UAUUCCCCCCCUUUACUGCUGCCAACAUAGUACUGCGGCGACCGACCAAACGUGCCACAAAACCCACACCGCCAGCCAGCCCAUCUCCGCCGGCGGCCUCCGGCGCGGCGACCGGCCUCCGCUCCGCUCCCCUCCCACCCCACCCCACCGCCGCCCGCCGCCCCUUCCCCGGUCGCCGUGCCCCGUCGGCACAGGCGCGCCUCGCGAGCCCGUCCCCUGCCCCGUGCCCUGGAGGCCCAAACCCUAGCCGGCGCGGCGGGCGGGCGUGGCGUCAGGGCCGAUGGACGACACCCUGGCCAAUAUACGGAAGAAGCUGAAACGGCUGAAGAAGGGCAAGGACGAGGAUGACGCCGUCGACGCCCCUGCGGAUCCCGACGGCGGCGAGGCCGUCGCCGUCGCCGCCGGGCCGGAAGAUCUGCCGGGCGGCGGCGAUGUCGAGGACAUGGGCGAGGGCGUCGCCGACGAGGGCGGCGACCUGGAGGCCGUCGCGAAUGUGGUUCCUGGGGAGGACGGCUUGAAAGCCCCCGGUGGUGAUCUAGGGUUGGGGGAUGGCUUGAAAGGUCCCGGCGGUGAUUUAGGGUUGGGGGACUCCCUGUCGGUGCUCUUCAGGAAGCCUGGCCGCAAGACUCGGCAGCAGGCCUCGAAGGAUGAGGAGGCAGAGGGCGUGGAGGCUGCCGAUUCGCAGGCAGAGGAGGCUCUCAAUGGCGGAUCUGGUGGCCUGGCUUCGGAUGAGACUGCCAAGGGCACCAAGAAGAGGCGGAGGCGGCGCACCAAGGCGGAGAUGGAGGAGAUGAGAGCUGCCCUCGCCGCUGAGAAUUACGACAACGCAAUGGCAGGCGAUGGGUCUCCCAGGAGGAGGUCAAGGGCGAAGCCAAAGGCUGCUUAUUCUGAUAGGCGUUCUAGGGCUGCCGCCCGUCGAGCCGUUGAAGAAGUGCCCGUUGGAGAAUUGGCGGCCCCUGAGCCUCCCCCUGAUUUGGAAAGGAAGCCCAAUGAGAAAGAAGAGGCUGUGGAUAAAGAAGAGGCUGCAGAUGAUGGUUUAUCACUGGGAGAGACGCUUCUGCAAGACGUGGAAACCAGCAGAGUUGUGGAGGGUGGAUCUAGAAACUCUUCUGAUGGGGCAAGUCAUUGUGUCGAAGUUCCAGCAAGGGCUGAUAACUGCAUUGCCUUAAAUCCUUGUUCAGGAGGAGAACCUGCUGAAAAAGCAUCUCACAGUGCAGCAAAUGCAUCCGCUGAUGGUGUUUCUGAUGCACAGACAUGCUCCGAAACCUUGGCAGAGGAUAUAAAUGCCGAUGCAGGUUUUUCUCAAGAUAAGCCACCUGCACCAACCAUCAAAAGGAAACCUGGUCGAAAACCAAAAGAAGCGCCCAAGAAACCUGUUAGAAGGAAGGAGUUGCCUUCGGUUAGUGCUGAUGCUAAACCAGUUGAGAUAGCAGAAAGUGAUGCGUCGUCGAAGCAGCGGCGGCGCAAAAAUAAAUUUCUCUUGGCAAGGUCUACCGCUGUGCAGUCUAAUUCCUCGCUGGACAAUAAAGCAGGUAGUACAGGCGACGUUAAAUAUGGCAAUAUCAAACCAAAUGCAGCUGUGCCAACAGAAGAAAGCUUAGAUCAGCCAGCUGCUUAUGGGGUUCAUGGGUCCCGUGCCGCCAAGGAUUCACGUGCCUCUCAUAACAUGGCAGCAUCUGCAAAAGAAAUCAAUAUCAUUGACGUGGCAGCGCCAUCCAAUUUUGAGGACAUGGAGAAUGCAUCAAAGGUGAAACGCCUAACACGGAAUACUAGGAAACGUAAACAUGGUGACAUGGCAUACGAGGGAGAUGAUGAUUGGGAAACUCUGAUGCAUGAGCAGGGGCUGUUCUCAAACCCCUCAGCAGGUUUUGCAGAUCAAUCUGUCAAACCAAAAGAUAAAAUUAAAGCGCUGGAAGUUCUUGAGAAUCAAGGUGUUGCUGCUGUAAGUGCUGGCCUAAUGGCGGAGGCUGUUUCUCCAAUGGAAAAGAUAAAAUUCAAGGAUGUCCUGAAGCGGAAGGGUGGCCUUAAGGACUACCUGGAGUGCAGGAACAUGAUCCUAAGUUGCUGGAACAAGGAUGUUAAACAUCUAUUGGAUCUUGCCGAUUGUGGUCUUUCUAAUGCUCCCAUGGAAGAUGAUUCACCACGUCAAACACUUAUACGUGACGUGUACUGUUUCUUAGAUCAGAAUGGUUACAUAAAUGCUGGAAUCGCAUCAGCCAAGGCGACAAAGGGUCAUGGAAUUCCUUGUUCCGAGGUUGUGGAAGUAGCCAAGUUAAAUGAAUUACCUAAAAUGGAGCAAGUCAGGGUUGAAGGUGACGUUGUUGCUGUAUCUCUCCAGAAUAAAGAUGAUGAUUAUGGUGCUUUGGGACCUUUGACAGAAGAAUCGAAGGAAAAUAAUGUCCCUGACGCUCAUUGCGAUGCCCAAGAGUUGAUACCUCACUUACAGUCCAAAGAACAGGCAUCUGAAGAAAAGAAUCUAGAUGUAUCAACUGAAGGUGGAGAUGCAUUUCUACCACCGAUCAAUAUUACUUCAGUUGGAAACACUGAAGGCCCCAGUCUCGAUAAACCAGAAGCAGCUGUUAUCGAACAUCCUGGAAACAACUGUGAGGUAAAUCAUAAAGUUGAAUCUGGAGGGCGCUGCAAAAAGAUAAUCAUUGUGGGAGCUGGUCCAGCCGGUUUAACUGCAGCACGCCAUUUGCAGCGUCAAGGUUUUGCUGUCACUGUUCUUGAAGCACGUGAUAGGAUUGGUGGUCGUGUUUAUACAGACCGUACAUCGCUUUCAGUUCCUGUGGAUUUGGGUGCUAGCAUUAUUACAGGUGUGGAGGCUGAUAUAGCAACUGAACGAAGGGCUGAUCCAUCCUCUUUGAUUUGUUCUCAGCUUGGUCUUGAACUGACUGUACUGAAAAGUGCUUGCCCUCUCUAUGAUGUAGUAACUGGCAACAAGGUUCCCGAUGAAUUGGAUGAUGAGUUGGAAUCUGAAUACAACGGCCUUCUUGAUGAAAUGGAACAACUUUUUGAACAAAAUGGUGAAAGUGCACUGGGUUUAUCCCUUGAGGAUGGGUUGGAAUAUACUCUUAGGAAGAAACGUGCAUCCCAUGUUGUUUCUUCUGUGGGACAUGAUGGUCAGUUAAUAAGUAUGUCCAAUAGAGGAGGUGUAGACAUUUCCAAAAGUGCUUCAACAGAAAAGGAGAUAGCUCAUUGUGGGGAGGAUGGUGAGAUAGAUGUUCUCAGCCCUCUUGAAAGAAGAGUUAUGAACUGGCACUUUGCACAUUUAGAGUACGGUUGUGCUGCAAUGCUCAAAUCUGUCUCUCUUCCGUACUGGAACCAAGAUGAUGUGUAUGGAGGGUUCGGAGGACCUCAUUGCAUGAUUAAAGGUGGUUAUGGCGCUGUUCUUGAGAGCCUUGCAGAAGGACUUGAUGUUCAGUUAAAUCAUGUUGUAACCGAAGUAAUGUACAGGCCUGAGGAGUCAGAUGCUAGUGGCAUCAAUGGGAAAACUGUUAAAGUUUCCACUUCGAAUGGAGCUGAAUUUGUGGGAGAUGCUGUGUUGAUCACUGUUCCUCUUGGGUGCUUGAAAGCACAUGCAAUCAAAUUUUCUCCUUCCUUGCCGGACUGGAAAACAUCUUCCAUUGACAGGCUUGGAUUUGGUGUUCUAAAUAAAAUAGUAUUGGAGUUUCCUGAGGUCUUUUGGGAUGAAAAUGUGGAUUAUUUUGGUGCAACUGCGGAACAAACAGAUUUAAGGGGACAAUGCUUUAUGUUUUGGAAUCUCAAAAAGACAGUCGGCGCACCAGUUAUAAUAGCUCUACUUGUUGGGAAGGCUGCUAUAGAUGGACAGAGUAUCAGUUCUGAUGCUCAUGUUAGCCAUGCUAUGGUGGUUCUCCGUAAGCUCUUUACGGAUGCUGCUGUACCAGAUCCAGUGGCAUCAGUUGUCACAAAUUGGGGCCUUGAUCCUUUUAGUAGAGGUGCUUACUCUUAUGUUGCAGUAGGAGCAUCAGGUCAAGAUUAUGACAUCAUAGGACGGCCAGUUGCAAACUGUUUAUUUUUUGCUGGGGAAGCAACAUGCAAAGAGCAUCCAGAUACUGUUGGUGGUGCAAUUUUAAGUGGUCUUCGAGAAGCAGUUCGGAUUAUUGACUUGGUACACAGUGGUAAGGAUUAUGUGGCUGAGGUGGAAGCUCUACAAACAUACCAAGUGCAGUCAGAUAGUGAAAGAAAUGAAGUCAGAGACAUGUCAAAUAGACUUGAAGCACGUGAACUGUCAACUGCUCUAUGCAAAAACUCAUCUGAUGCAUCAUAUGCAGUAGCUAGCAAGGAAUCUGUACUGCAAGAAAUGUUUUUCAGUGCGAACACUACACCAGGGCGCCUACAUUUGGCCAAGGAGCUACUGAAACUCCCUCCAGAUGCUCUUAAAUCAUUCGCUGGGUCUAAAGAAGGGCUAACUAAACUGAACUCUUGGAUACUUGAUUCACUGGGAAAAAAUGCAACUCAACUGUUGCGGCAUUGUGUACGCUUGCUUUUGCUUGUUUCGACCGAUCUGGUAGCUGUUCGCUUGUCUGGAAUUGGGAGGACUGUAAAGGAAAAGGUCUGUGUGCAUACUAGUCGAGAUAUUCGUGCCAUAGCUCGCCAGUUGGUCAGUAUGUGGAUAGAAGUUUUCCGUAAAGAAAAGGCUAGCAACGGUGCUCUCAAAAUGCUGCGCCGAUUGCCAUCAGUUGAAUCGAGCAAGACUAGGAGUAAGGAUCUACAUUCAGGAAUGCGCACUUCGCAUGUGCCAAAUGAAGCAGGUGCACAGCGUGUAAGAUCUGCUGGGAGCCAUUCACCUCACAGAACUGGCAAGAAGCCUGACAAGAUUGUGAAAUUAUCUAGUAUAAUGGCUACAAAAUCUGAUGGCUGCUCACUUCGUUCCCAGAAGCAACACCAUGAUCCGGAACCCAAGGCUGAUCAAGGCAUGGUUAUGUCUGAGGAAGAAGCUGCUGUAUUUGCUGCUGCGGAGGCUGCUCGAGUUGCUGCCAUAGCAGCUGCACAGGCAUAUGCAUCCGCAGAGGCAGUGAUAAGUAAGCCUCGGGAGCUCCCAAAGAUACCAUCAUUUGGAGAUUUUGCAAGGCGUGAUCAUCAUUUGGACGAAUCUGAUACAAGAAAGAAAAUGACAAGUGACAAGCAUGGGAGACUUGAAUGCAUAUCGGAGAUUGAUUCCAGGAAUGGCAAAACUAAGAACUCAUCAGCUGAGCACGCCAAUUGUCCUGAUGUUGACAGCUCGAAAAUGACUGUUGAUAACUGUACCCAGAGGAGCUAUUCAAACGAGAAAGCCUGCCUAAUUAAUAUUAAGGACAAUUCUGCAGAGAGUGGAGCUGUAGACAGUCGUUUUACUAGGGCAUGGGUUGAUACUGAUGCAGUCUCCAUUGAUGGUGUCAAACAUCCCAUAGCCAUUGAGAGGUGGCAAGCACAAGCAAUGGAAGCAGAUAAAGAAUUCUACAGUCGGAUACGCAUACCCAUGGAGGAAGGUUCAGGUAGCCAAAAGCAGACAUGCAAAAGUUCUGCCUCGCAGGUUGCGGAAAGCAAACCUGCAUCAGAAGGACAAUCCCGAGGUGUAGAACAUAUAAAACAGGGGCUGAUAGCUUUCAUUAGCACACUACUGAUGCCACUGUACAAAAGUAAAAAGAUCGACAGGGAGGCAUACAAGACAAUGAUGCGGAAAGCUGUCACAAAGAUAAUUGAUGCAUGCACCGAGGGAGAGAAGCUGAUGACUGCCAAUGAAUUUCUUGAUUUUAGAAGGAAAACUAAGAUUCAAACAUUUGUGGAUAAGUUGGUCGAGAGGCAUUGGCAUGUGGCUCCAGCCCCCAAAUCAUAGCAUUUACAUAUAUAGGAAGCUGUUACAUGUGGAGAAGCAAAUUUCACCUUGCAGACUAUGCUGUCGCUCAUCAGGCAUUGGCUCCAUGGGACCUAAAAGAAGCAGACAUGGUUUCACAAGCCUUGGGGGCAAAACCGAACCAUGAACCAGAUUGACACAUUCAUCCUUGUAUUGAAGUUGAUAUCACCUCCAUCAUCAUCAUCAUCGUUGCAAUGGCUUCCUAGACCUCUGUGCACUCAGACAAACAUGGCUGCGCAUGCAGUGAACUUGUGUGAUGAGUUGAACUCUAUGGCUUGUACCGAAGUGGCAAAUGAAGAUCUGGGAUGAAUUCAAGCAUUCCGCAUGGUCUCAACAUGCAAGGGUGGCUCGAAUGUAUCCCUGGACAGUAGUUUUAGGUCAGCGUAGCAGAACCCAUGUUGUUGUUUGUUCAGAGAAAACUGACACCAGACUAGACCCCAUCUUUUCUCCGUUUGUUGUACAGACCAUAGCUCCGUAUCCUGUUCCUAGCAAUCACCUAACUCAUAGUCGGUCGUGUUAAAAGUCGUCGCGGUUUGGCGGAGAUGGUUGGCAUCUGCAGGUUGCUGCAGCCCUCUGUAUAUCCCCCAGCUGCUUAUACUGGUCACCAUUUAUGACUGCUAAGUGCCAGAAGGAUAAUACUUUGGAACCGGCGACCUCUGGUCUCGGUGUUAUCGGACGAAACCUGUGCCGCUCCCUGGCUGUAGCAGGGGUAUCGAGUUAAGAGAUGGCUUCACCUUGUUGGUCUAUCCUUUUAGUGUUGUUUCGCAGCUUCGAGUUUUCUCUGUAUUCUCACGCCAUGGCAGAGUUGGUAUCAUGCUCAGAUAUGUCUUUUUCCGUCCCAUUAUUAUGUUUUUGCCUAUUUCCAUGCUUCAGUUACUUCCAUGUCAUACCUGCCUUUUGUAUAUUUACACGUGUCACUUAUUUCAAUGUCAUACUUGCCUUUUUGUACAUGCAAUUAAUGCUUUUAAUUAUCUCUGGUCUCGGUGUCAUUGCAUGAAACCUGUGCUGCUUGCUCCCUGGCCGUAGCUGGGGUGUCGAGUUGAGAUAGAUGGCUUUACCUCGUUGGCCUAUCUUUUUGUGUUGUCGCAGCUUUGAUUUUUCUCUGUAUUUUCACGUCAUGGCAGAGUGGGUUUCAUGUUCAGAUAUGUUUUUUCUUUUCUUUUCUUUCUAUUGUUAUGUUUUUGUGUAUUUCCAUGCUUCAGUUACUGCCAUGUCAUACCUGUCUUUUUUGUCCAUAUCCAUGCGAUAUCUAUUUUUCCAUGUGCCUUUUGUGUGUGUGUAUAUAUAUAUAUCUAUCUAAUUAAUGCUUUUAAUUAUCUACCAUUCUUUCCUGCAUAACUUGACUCCUACUCUGGCAAUGCCUCUGCAGGACAAUAUAUUUUGCUGGUUCCAGCGCCAUCACAUCAAACUUGUGCCGCUGCUUCCUGGCUGCCUGUAGCACGGGCAUGGAGCAACAAGAGUUGGCUUCACUUUGCCGGCCUAUUUUUCUGCCCCCUCCGAUGGAGAUGCCGAAUCAUCAAGGAAUUCAGACGCUGUCUUCUGCUGUGAUGAUCCAUAUCCAUAUCCAUAUCAGGAGGAUUCCAGACAGAGAAAACCCAGCCCCAAGACCUUGAAUGAAUUACCUUGGAUGAGCCGCUGGGCGCUGGGACGGAGGCGAUGGAGCUGUGCAUAGCAUUGUCCAUGGCAGGAUGAGCCUACCUGGGCACACGCCCUGCCUUGGUGGAAAAGUAAAUGAGGCCUCGGAUGGAGUACAAAGUAUGUAUAUGUUGGUGCCUUUCAGUUUUACUCUCCUGUAAACCGAACUUUUAUGGGAAAAAUUACCGAGUUCCGUGGAUAUGUUUGAAAAAAAAGGGUGCUUGUUUAGCUGAAGAGAUUGCUCUGUUGUGGUAAAAGAACUGCAAAAACAGAAAAGGACAUGAUUAUUAUACGUCUAACCAGUUUUGUGCUGCUGUAGCCACAAACACACAAUAUUGUUUUUUGAGGAGCACAAAUACACAACUAUGUAUUUAUUUUUGGGUACGCAAAUAUGUAACUGGAAAUGUGGCAGAUUUUUAUUUUA